rnacentral:lncRNA from 1 species
CCAAAUAACUCCCAUUUCUCCCAAAUCGUGGAAGGCUGGAAGAAAAACCUUUUCCAAUUUCUUCAAUUCUUCCUUCGCCACACGCCCCUGCCUGCACGAUGCUGCACACAAGUGACGAGACACGACGGUGUAGAAGACCGCCGGUUUCACCCCUGCCCUGCAAGUUGCAGUGUGAGACACUUCUUCCUUUGCCACCGCGGGUUCACCCCUGAUUUCUAAUUGUUUUUCUAACAUGACUUUUGACUUCAUUCUGAAAAUCUUUCAUCUUUUUGAGUUUUGGAGUAAAGAUAGAUAUAUUGGUGUGUUGUCUAUUGAUAUACUAAUUAAUUAUCCAAUAAGCCAUAAAAUAUUGUAUUAUUAAUAAAUAGGGUGGAUUAAAAUUUAAAAGUACAAAAUUUAAUUAAAAACAAGAUUACUGCAAUUCGAAUUAUCUUCAUAAUUUACUUCUAUUAAUUAUUAUAUUCCUCAAAUAUUGGACUGAGGGUGAGGGAUAUAAUUAAAUAAUUGAACAGUGCCAUAUAUUAUGUGAGUGCUAAAUGAAAAUUUUCACAGGCUAUGAAUCAUAUGAUUGCCUAUUUGUAUGUGCUAACUACUAAAUUGGCAAAUUUAAUUUUAUUAUAUUGUAAUUUGUAGGUGCUUACUGCUCAACACCAUGUUUAACAGUUUAAGGGUAUCAAUUUGGCAUGAAAUUGGAGCAGAAUCAUAGAAUUCUUUGUCCACUUGGCAAGCAAGUUCUCUGGUUCACUGGUUGGAGACUUGGAGCCAAUAUUAAUGCCAAAGGAUUCCUUCCUCAGGUCAGUAACUUAAGUUGAUCAGUUGAUGUUAAAUAUGUUGUGAUUUAUUCAUUUGGGAAUUAAAAAAUUGCGAAUUGUGAUUUAUGAUUAUUGAUUUGAGAAUUUAUGUUUACGAAAUUAUAUUUGCAUUCGUGAUUUAUGAUAAGUAAUUUAUGUUUUGAUAAUGAAUGAUUAUUGAUUUGGGAAUUUAUGUUUACGGAUUUAUGUUGUGAAUUGUGAUUUAUGAUAAGUAAUUUAUGUUUUGUGAGUU